rnacentral:rRNA from 1 species
UACAGAGGGUGCAAGCGUUAAUCGGAAUUACUGGGCGUAGGUGGCUUGAUAAGUCAGAUGUGAAAUCCCCGGGCUUAACCUGGGAACUGCAUCUGAUACUGUUAGGCUAGAAUAGGUGAGAGGAAGGUAGAAUUCCAGGUGUAGCGGUGAAAUGCGUAGAGAUCUGGAGGAAUACCGAUGGCGAAGGCAGCCUUCUGGCAUCAUAUUGACACUGAGGUUCGAAAGCGUGGGUAGCAAACAGG